CCGCAGUGGGCGAGGCAGGAGCCAGCGUGGUGCAAGGGUGUGGGCGGGCGCCUGGACAAGGACGUGGUCUCUUUCAGAACCGCCAUAUUGCCCACCCCAACCUCCCCGCCCCCUUUCCUGCUGCAAAUUCACAAUGGAGCCUGUGCCCUCAGCGUGCCCUGCUCUGGCCACUGUCCCCAAUCGGGCUCCCAGAUUCCUCCUGCCUGCCCUUCCCCAACCAUCCCCUGCUGGGGGCAGGGGCGACAGGCCACAGGAUGUCAGUGGUAGAAAACUGUGCUGCCUGGAGGGCUGGGUGGGGUUUGCGCCAGGAGACAUUGAUCCCUGGAGGCAGUCUCUCAGGGCGGGGUCCAAGUGGUCCUUGGUCCUGGCUGGCAGGCAGGACCCGUCCAUCAGCUGGGAUGCUGUGACUUUCAGCCCUGCCUGGGGGUGAUGGCCUCCCCAGCAUCCAUAGCUUUCCCUAGAAGGGGAUCUGCUGGGCUCACCCUCCUGGUUCAGUGCCCUUCCCGGCUUUGCAGUCUGUCGCCAUAAUAUGGCCGAUGCUCUGCAGAUUUCCAAGCCCCUCUGCAGCAGCUGCUGGAGGAACAGGGGCUUGUGCCUAUAGGACUCCUCCACUGUCUGACCACAAUGGCCACUGUUCCAAGGACAUGACAGGGAGAAAAGGGCCAUCCUUCUUGAUAUUUAGGAUGCUAGGCCAUCAUGUGGUUUGUUUUUUUCUCCCCAGUUUUGGGAGGUCAUCAGUGAUGAGCAUGGGAUCGACCCCACUGGCAGUUACCAUGGAGACAGUGACUUGCAGCUGGAGAGAAUCAAUGUGUACUACAAUGAAGCUGCUGGUAACAAAUACGUACCUCGGGCCAUCCUGGUGGAUCUGGAGCCAGGCACCAUGGACUCGGUCAGGUCUGGACCAUUUGGCCAGAUCUUCAGGCCAGGCAACUUCGUGUUCGAAGCUGCCUGAUGUUGCCUGCCACCUGGACAUCUCCACAACGUGGUAGCAGCUCCUUCAAGCCCAGCAGGAGAGUGUCUCUACUGCUUCAAAAUUCUGAUGUCUUCUUCUACUACCAGCUGGAAAAAAUUCUUUGCUUCAAAGGAGUUCAUGUGAUUAGAGGAGGCCCACCCACAUAAUCUCCCUAUUUUAAGGUCAGCUGACUGGAAUCUUAAUUAUAUGUGCAAAAUCCCUUCACAGUAGUACCUAGAUUAGUGUUUGAAUAACUGGGGAAAGGUUGUGUACACCCCAGGGCCAGGUGGCUCUCAGGGCUGUGUUAGAAUUCUGCCCUCUCCAAAUGGACAGUUUGGGGAAUGGAAAGCACAUUGUCUUUGAAACGUCUGGUUCUGACAUUUGAAUCUAUGUUCACAGAGUAAAUGAUGUUUCUACUUACUAGUUGUAUGGCCUUAGGCAAGUAUUCAUUCUCUCUGAGCCUUAGCUUCUUUUUCCAGAAAGUGAUCAUAACAGUAUGUACUUCGGAGGGUUAUUGUAAGGAUUAAAUGAAAUGACAUAUGUAUAGUACUUGUCACACAAUAGUGCAACAGUUGGUGCUGCAGUGAGCAUCCUACUAAGGCAGGUAGGUGUUCAAGGACAGGCUAUAUGACUUCUUGCUAGGAAUUCGGCAAAGAGGGGGCAGAGACCAAGAUAGAUUUAUUUUGGAAUUUCUUUUAAUUUUAGAAAAUAUGAUUUUCAGAUCCCCUUUGGCCACAGAAGUCUAUGGAUCAAUGUGAAUGUUCUUGGAAAAGCUAAUAUACUUAUCAAAAUAAGACCUUAAUUGACUCAUAUUAAAUGUUUUUUUGGUACAGAUUUUCAUAAAGGGAUAGAGCUUGUGUGCUCAAAUUUCAGGAAGAGUAGCAAGAGGUGAUAAAAAGAAUUAAAAGGGAAAUUUAACCACCCUUACAAUUUUACUUAGGACUGGUCCCAAUUCAGUAAGUUAAAUUUGCAACUACAGGUGGCUAUAGUGGAAAUUGCUAGCUUAGGCUGGGCUCUGAGUAGCAACAUAAGAUUUUUUGAGGCAGCCCUGCAGGGUUGAGGGCCCAUUCUAACUUUCCUUCUACAUGUACUUCCUGUUUUCCUUGUCUUGCUUUUCCAUCACUUCCUUUCAAUUCCAAAUUAAGAUUGGACAGCAGGUUCUGGUCCCAGCAUCUCAUCAGACUUGACAGUUCAUUUAUUGACUCAGCUCCUAAUCUUGCUGGGCCCUUUCCCUCUCUUACUAUUCCUGUACUCAGUGUAUAGUGGGCUUUCCCCACUAUGGAAAGCCUCAGCCUGUGCACUAUGUUCAGCUUCAUUUCUCCAAUAUCAGUAUUGGCAUCUCAACAGGAUCCAAAUGCCUCAUUCAUUGCAAAACUAUCCAAUCUUAAAAGUCAUCUGUGAAUCAACACAGUAUUCCCUGAGUUAACAGAAAUUUGACUCUGAAACACCCAGUACAUAGUUGUGUCUGGUUGCACAUUGCUCCUCUAUCCUAAAACUCACCCAAAGGCCUAACCCUCCCCUAGUCCCCCAACACACACAGAGCAACAAAGCUGUGCUUGGCCAGUGCACCCCCUGCUGGCCAGUGAGGGGAAAUGACUGGUCCAAGACCUCUCCUCCCCUUUCAUUUUCACCAAGGUAGUUGUGCACACAAUGUGCCCCUCCCUUUCCUCUUUCAACAUUCUCAGCUCUUGUUAAAUCUCUCUCAGAGGAUGCCUUUCCCAACAUAUUUGUCCCCAUACCUCCUUCUUUCUUCUGGUUAUCAAAAGAAUCUAAUUAUUUCAUGUUUACACUAAUUGUAAUAUUUUUAUGUUAUGAUAUAAAAGUUAAGUUACAUGUGACUAAUUGACUGCUAUGUUUGGUAGGUAUGCAAUUAAACAUUUAUGAAUAUUA